GUUGUGGUGAUUCUCAGGAUGGAUCUGAGGUGUUGGUCAGUUAACUUGGAUCUGUGGCUGGCUUUGUUGAUGUUCAUGACGCUGAACGCCUGUUCACACAAAUAGGUCGAGCCGAACAAAGAGUAAAGCGCAAAUGUGGAGUAAUACGCUGCACCUCAACAAAGGUCAAUGUGUAGCGGUGUGCUACAUGCAGCGCUAAAAUUACGACACGGAGUCGGUAACUGCAGUCGAAGAAAAAAAACUUCAUUCGAAAUCCCCAGCCUCACUUUUAAGCCUCCCUCAACCUGCUCCCCGUGGCGCAGAGGCUCCAAAGCUCUGUGCUCGCAAAUCUCCGCAGGCUAUCUCCCUUAGCCGGAACGCUGGCUAAUUGUGAGCCGGUUCGGAUGUGCCAGGAAAUGGGUCACCACAAAUGUAUAUAGAGUGCGUCAUCUAUUGGGAAAACGCCAGAAUUGUGGGGAAAAAAACGUUAACAAGGUUAUUAAUAUAAUUUCAUCAAGUUCUGCAGGCCGGAUUAAAAAGCUUAACGGUCCGCAGUUUGCCCAUGCCUGUUCUACACCCACUGAUGGAUUUUUAAAAUCUUUUUACAGGUUACAAAUGACAAGAAAUUUGUCUACUGAAAUCUGGAAUACAGUUUUGCUGUCUCAGUCCAGAUAUUUAAGAAAUGGAUCAAGGGAUUCACUCGAUCAUCCUUCCUGCUCAGACAGUGGGGAGGGAUUCACUCGAUCAUCCUUUCUGCUCAGACUGUGGGGAGGGAUUCACUCAGUCAUCUAACCUACAGAGACACCAGCAAGUUCACACUGGGGAGAAGCUGUUCACCUGCCCAGACUGUGGGAAAGGAUUCACUCGAUCAUUCAACCUACAGAGUCACCAGCGAGUUCACACUGGGGAGAGGCUGUUCACCUGCUCAGACUGUGGGAAGGGAUUCACUCAGGCAUCUCACCUACGGAGACACCAGUCAGUUCACACUGGGGAGAAGCUAUUCACCUGCUCAGUCUGUGGAAAGUCAUUCACUCAGUCAUCCAACCUACAGACACACCAGCGAGUUCACACUGGGAAGAGGCCAUUCACCUGCUCAGACUGUGGGAAGGGAUUCACCACAUCAUCUCACCUAGUGACACACCAGUCAGUUCACACUGCAGAGAGGGAUUUCACCCUCUCAGAUAGUGAGAAGGGAUUCACUCAGUCAUCUGAUCUGCUGGCACACCAGUGAGAUCCACUGGGGAAAGGCCGUCGACCUGUGAAUGUGGGAAGGCAUUCACAUGAUCAUCUCAUCUAUUAGAACACCAGUGAGUUCACACCACGUCUGCUCAGACUUUGGGGAGAGAUUCUCUCAACCGUCUCCACCAAAGCUGCAUCAUUAUGUUCCACUGGGGAGGGGCCAUUCACCUGUUGUGAAUAUGGGAAGGGAUUCAUUCAAUAAUCUAACCUUGUAACACAUGACCGGGUUCACAUUGGGGAGAAAGUUUCAAUAAGCUGCAGGAUGAAUGCAUCCCCAUUGCUGAAUGCAAUUUUGAGAGUGACAGGCGGAGUCUAGUACAAAAGGGCAUGACUUGUGGUUUGCAGGACACCCAUUCAGAACAGAGAAUCAGAGAAUUAUUUUUUUGUCAGAGGGUGAUGGAUCUGUGGAAUUUGUUGCCACGGGCAGCAGUGGAGGCCAAGUCAUUGGGUGUGUUUAAUGCAGAGAUUGAUAGGUAUCUGAGUAUUCAGGGCAUCCAAGGUGAUAGUGAGAAGGUGGGGGAAUGGGACUGAAGGGCAGAUUGGAUCCACUCAUGAUGAAAUUGUGUAGCAGACUCGAUGGGCUGAAUGGCUGACUCUGCUCCUUUGUCUUAUGGUCUAAUGUGAUUAUUUUUUCUCAUGUGCGUUAUUCCUCUUCCUCCUUCUGUCCAAGGAAGUGUUAAUCUAGGUGGGUUUGAGUGUAAGUAGUCUUUUCUAAACUUGUCAUUUCUGUUCUUACUUAUCUUUGUAAAUUUUACUGAGUGAAAUGGGACUAAGAUAUUUUCAUUAAAAAAAGUCAAUGUCGGUAUUGAUGGAAGUGUUUAUUGCCUUUGUCGUAUUUGUUGAGCAUAGAGCUCUGUUCCACAGUUUUUUAAAGCCUUGAAAUAAAUUUUGUCAAAGGUUUUCCCAAUAUUGCACUACUUUCUGUUGUUUUUGCUUGUUGAUUUUCCAGAUACGUGGUUAUCACGAGUCCCAAAGAAGGGUCAUGGCCGGAAAUGUUGAUUCCCAUCCAUUAAUGCUGCCUGACCUGCUGAACUUCUCCAGCACUUUGUGUGAAUUUCUCUUGAUUUCUUGCAUCUGCAGGUUGGAGCUAUGCAGUUGGAAUAUGAUGUGUUUCUCUUCAACCCUGAGGGUGUCAAGUGGAUCAACUCCAGCCAUUGCUAUUCUGCCAUCAUCGCUGCCAGUGUACCCUUCCAAUCAACUUUGCGUUAUUACGACAGAGCGCCACCUGGUGACAAUGGAGUCCACUGUUACGAAUGUGCCACAACUCUGAGGGGCCGAAGGGUACAAAGUAGCCCCCUCAUUUUUGAGAAUCGCAAGAUCGCUAUUAAUUCGGGUCUGGGACCCAGGAAGAGAGAGAGACGUCCAGAAUACAAACGGUUUGGAAUUUGUCCUGGCCUCCACAAGACAAAGCCACGGAUAACGGCCAUUGUCUCUUGGAGACGGAAUUGUGUAUUGAGUGCUGUACUAUUCAUUGAAGCCCUCAGGGAAUGACCAGAGUGGUCUGGUUGAGGGAUUGCAUUAUCCCAACCUGAUUGACAUCUGAGACCCCGUGAGUAAGGAUAAAAGAGGGUCUGGGGACCAACCCCUUCAGACGCACCAGGAGAAACGCUAGGAAUCCCGUGACAGCGUUUAAUAGCGACAGCCGGUGGGGGUUUCGCGUGCGUCCUUUCCCUUGCCUGGGAUUGGCGGCCUUACCACGGAAGAACGGCUUAGCUAAAGGACCGGCUACACCAACGGAACUCUCGAAGGAUCGAAAUCAUGAAAAGGAAAAGCUGGCAAGUUUCUAAAAAUCUCUCUCUUGACUCCAACCAAAGGCUGCAGCCUGAAUGAACUGAGUGACUUUUAUAUUUCCAUCGGACAAUACAUUAUCCCCUAGACAACGAUAGAGAGCUAUUUCUUAUUGAUUAUUAUUAUACCCGCACUUUUAGUUUUAGUAUUGACGACGUA